rnacentral:tRNA from 1 species
GCCCCGCUGGCGGAAUUGGUAGACGCGCUAGUCUUAGGAACUAGUGGAGCAAUCCGUGGGGGUUCAAGUCCCUCGCGGGGCA